UACGGGGGGGGCAAGCGUUGUUCGGAAUUACUGGGCGUAAAGGGCUCGUAGGUGGCCAACUAAGUCAGACGUGAAAUCCCUCGGCUUAACCGGGGAACUGCGUCUGAUACUGGAUGGCUUGAGUUUGGGAGAGGGAUGCGGAAUUCCCGGUGUAGUGGUGGAAUGCGUAGAUAUCGGGAGGAACACCAGUGGCGAAGGCGGUUGCCUGGAGCUUUGCUGACGCUGAUGCACGAAAGCGUGGGGAGCGAUCCGG
rnacentral:rRNA from 1 species